UACAGAGGGGGCAAGCGUUGUUCGGAAUUACUGGGCGUAAAGGGCGCGUAGGCGGCCUGCUAAGUCGAACGUGAAAUCCCUGGGCUCAACCCAGGAACUGCGUCCGAUACUGGUUGGCUUGAAUCCGGGAGAGGGAUGUGGAAUUCCAGGUGUAGCGGUGAAAUGCGUAGAUAUCUGGAGGAACACCGGUGGCGAAGGCGACAUCCUGGGCCAGUACUGACGCUGAGGAGCGAAAGCGUGGGGAGCAAACAGG
rnacentral:rRNA from 1 species